GACGAACGCUGGCGGCGUGCCUAACACAUGCAAGUCGAACGGACAUUAAUUUUUCGGAAUUGAUGUUAGUGGCGGACGGGUGAGUAACGCGUGAGCAACCUGCCUUUCAGAGGGGGAUAACGUAUGGAAACGUACGCUAAUACCGCAUGACAUAUAUUUGCCGCAUGGCAGAUAUAUCAAAGGAGCAAUCCGCUGAGAGAUGGGCUCGCGUCCGAUUAGAUAGUUGGUGGGGUAACGGCCUACCAAGUCAGCGAUCGGUAGCCGGACUGAGAGGUUGAACGGCCACAUUGGGACUGAGACACGGCCCAGACUCCUACGGGAGGCAGCAGUGGGGGGAUAUUGCACAAUGGGCGAAAGCCUGAUGCAGCAACGCCGCGUGAGGGAAGACGGUUUUCGGAUUGUAAACCUCUGUCUUUGGUGACGAAACAAAUGACGGUAGCCAAGGAGGAAGCCACGGCUAACUACGUG
rnacentral:rRNA from 1 species